rnacentral:rRNA from 1 species
CCUACGGGGGGCAGCAGUGGGGAAUAUUGCACAAUGGGGGAAACCCUGAUGCAGCGAAGCCGCGUGAGUGAAGAAGUAUUUCGGUAUGUAAAGCUCUAUCAGCAGGGAAGCUAAUGACGGUACCUGACUAAGAAGCCCCGGCUAACUACGUGCCAGCAGCCGCGGUAAUACGUAGGGGGCAAGCGUUAUCCGGAUUUACUGGGGGUAAUGGGAGCGUAGGUGGCAGGGCAAGUCAGAUGUGAAGACCCGGGGCUCAACCCCGGGAGUGCAGUUGAAACUGUCCAGCUGGAGUGCAGGAGAGGUAAGCGGAAUGCCUAGUGUAGCGGUGAAAUGCAUAGAUAUCACGCAGAACCCCGAUUGCGAAGGCAGCCUGCCGGCGCCCUACUGACGCUGAGGCACGAAAGUGCGGGGAUCGAACAGGAUUAGAUACCCUAGUAGUC